AUGAACGCUGGCGGCGUGCCUAAUACAUGCAAGUCGAGCGAACAGACGAGGAGCUUGCUCCUCUGACGUUAGCGGCGGACGGGUGAGUAACACGUGGAUAACCUACCUAUAAGACUGGGAUAACUUCGGGAGACCGGAGCUAAUACCGGAUAAUAUAUUGAACCGCAUGGUUCAAUAGUGAAAGACGGUUUUGCUGUCACUUAUAGAUGGAUCCGCGCCGCAUUAGCUAGUUGGUAAGGUAACGGCUUACCAAGGCAACGAUGCGUAGCCGACCUGAGAGGGUGAUCGGCCACACUGGAACUGAGACACGGUCCAGACUCCUACGGGAGGCAGCAGUAGGGAAUCUUCCGCAAUGGGCGAAAGCCUGACGGAGCAACGCCGCGUGAGUGAUGAAGGUCUUCGGAUCGUAAAACUCUGUUAUUAGGGAAGAACAGAUGUGUAAGUAACUAUGCACGUCUUGACGGUACCUAAUCAGAAAGCCACGGCUAACUACGUG
rnacentral:rRNA from 1 species